rnacentral:sRNA from 1 species
GUGUGUGGUGGUUCACACCUGUAGUCUCAGUUACUUGGAAAACUAUGGCAGGAGGAUCACUUGAGCCUAGGAAUUCAGGGCCAGCCUGUGCAACAUAGUGAGACCCUGUAUCUU